rnacentral:rRNA from 1 species
AUUGAACGCUGGCGGCAGGCCUAACACAUGCAAGUCGAACGAGUGGCGGACGGGCGAGUAAUGUAUGGGAAACUGCCCGAUGGAGGGGGCUAACUACUGGAAACAGUAGCUAAUAACGCAUAACAUCGGUUGUGCCCAGACGGGAUUAGCUAGUAGGUGGGGUAACGGCUCACCUAGGCGACGAGCCCCAGCUGGUCUGAGAGGAUGACCAGCCACACUGGGACUGAGACACGGUCCAGACUCCUACGGGAGGCAGCAGUGGGGAAUAUUGCACAAUGGGCGCAAGCCUGAUGCAGCCAUGCCGCGGGUAUGAAGAAGGCCUUCGGGUUGUAAAGUACUUUCAGCUGGGAGGCGUUACUCGCAGAAGAAGCACCGGCUAACUCCGUGCCAGCAGCCGCGGUAAUAC